ACUUAUUUAUUUUAUUGUAAAUUUAAUUAUUAAUCACAUAAAUGGACUCAGAAAGUUUUAUUUGAUUGUCUUCCUUUUUGCAUAACGGGUUAACUAUAAUGAUCCUUAUAUAAGGCUUCCCGAAAAUAGAAGAUCUAACCUGUUCCCUACUGUAGUAAGUAAGUUAUUAUGUGGAAUUAUAAUAAAAAGAGAGCAGGUUAGGGGCGAAAAACCUACAAUUCUAUUGAUAUCUGGAUGCUAGAUAAAAGUAUUUACUACUUAAGACAGAUAUGAAGCAUUAAGGCUUUGUAUGGAAAGAAUAUUUAUUAUGAUAAAAGUAGCUAGGGCUAAUAACUCCUGCUAGUUGUAUAUAAAACAAUUUAUUCUUAGUAAAAUCUUUUUACUGUCUAGCUACAGGUUAGAACUGUUACUCCUGUGGAUAAUGUUAAUAUUAGUAAUAAAAUUAUAUUAAAGUGAAAUAUGAAAAAGGAACUCGGCAAACUAACACCUUAACUGUUUACCAAAAACAUAGCCUUAAGUUUUAUUUAAGGUGAUGCCUGCCCAGUGCUUAUAAGUAAAUGGCCGCAGUACCUUGACUGUGCUAAGGUAGCAUAAUCAGUUGGCUUUUAAAUGGAGUCGGGAAUGAAUGGAUUAAUAGGGUGUAGCUGUCUCUUUUGUAUUAUAUUGAAUUUACUUAUUAGGUGAAAAUUCCUAAAUUAAGAAAAAAGACGAGAAGACCCUAGGAGUUUUCACUAAUGGUUAAGGUAAUUAACUGUUGUUUUUGUUGGGGCGACAAGGGAGCAAUUUGAAACCUCCUUUAAUAAUUUGCCGACGGUGUAUGAGAAGCUAAACUACCCUAGGGAUAACAGCGUAAUUCUUUUAGAGCUUGCGACCUCGAUGUUGGACUAGGAAUUUGAUGGGCUAGCCGCCUAUUUAUAUUGUUCUGUUCGAACUUAUUUUCCUACAUGAUCUGAGUUCAGACCGGCGCAAGCCAGGUCAGAUUCUAUCUUUUUUAUUUUUAUCUUUAGUACGAAAGGAUUAAGGUAAAUUACUCUUGU
rnacentral:rRNA from 1 species